GUGUAUAUACACAUAUGCAUAUGUGUGUGUAUGUGUAUACAUACACACAUAUGCGUAUAUGUGUGUGUAUGUG
rnacentral:pre_miRNA from 13 species